GGUUGCGAUCAUACCAGCACUAAUGCACCGGAUCCCAUCAGAACUCCGCAGUUAAGCGUGCUUGGGCGAGAGUAGUACUAGGAUGGGUGACCCCCCUGGAAGUCCUCGUGUUGCAACCC
rnacentral:rRNA from 2 species